rnacentral:misc_RNA from 1 species
UCCCGGUUGGCCCGGGCAGUCUUGUUUGAAAAAUACAACAAACAACAAGGGUUGCGCUCGUUGCGGGACUUAACCCAACAUCUCACGACACGAGCUGACGACGGCCAUGCAACAUCUGUCACCUAUCCAACUAAAUGACGGCCUAGUUUCUUAGGCCUACGAUAGGGAUGUCAAGCCUCGGUAAGGUUCUUCGCGUAGCAUCGAAUUAAACCACAUCCUCCACUGCUUGUGCGGGUCCCCGUCAAUUCCUUUGAGUUUUAGCCUUGCGGCCGUACUCCCCAGGCGGCACACUUAACGCGUUAGCUUCCCAGCCCAAAGGGUCGAUACUUCAGACUAGUAGUGUGCAUCGUUUACGGCGUGGACUAC